UAGGGUGUAGCUCAGUGGUAGAGCACAUAAUUAGCAUGCAUAAGGGCCUGGGCUCAAUUCCCAAUACCCCUA
rnacentral:tRNA from 1 species